GACGAACGCUGGCGGCGUGCCUAAUACAUGCAAGUUGAGCGAUGAAGAUUGGUGCUUGCACCAAUUUGAAGAGCAGCGAACGGGUGAGUAACGCGUGGGGAAUCUGCCUUUGAGCGGGGGACAACAUUUGGAAACGAAUGCUAAUACCGCAUAACAACUUUAAACAUAAGUUUUAAGUUUGAAAGAUGCAAUUGCAUCACUCAAAGAUGAUCCCGCGUUGUAUUAGCUAGUUGGUGAGGUAAAGGCUCACCAAGGCGAUGAUACAUAGCCGACCUGAGAGGGUGAUCGGCCACGUUGGGACUGAGACACGGCCCAAACUCCUACGGGAGGCAGCAGUAGGGAAUCUUCGGCAAUGGACGAAAGUCUGACCGAGCAACGCCGCGUGAGUGAAGAAGGUUUUCGGAUCGUAAAACUCUGUUGGUAGAGAAGAACGUUGGUGAGAGUGGAAAGCUCAUCAAGUGACGGUAACUACCCAGAAAGGGACGGCUAACUACGUG
rnacentral:rRNA from 1 species